rnacentral:antisense_RNA from 1 species
UGCCUCGGCCUGCUUCGGCUCGCGCACGGUGCGCGCACCCACUGACCUGCGCCCACUGUCUGGCACUCCCUAGUGAGAUGAACCUGGUACCUCAGAUGGAAAUGCAGAAAUCACCCGUCUUCCGCGUCGCUCACGCUGGGAGCUGUAGACCGGAGCUGUUCGUAUUCGGCCAUCUUGGCUCCUGGAUCUCUGUGUCAACCUUCUUUUAUUUUUAAAAGAUAUUCACUGUCUCUUACUAAAGCUUCCUGUUCAAAGUCUGGCUGAGAAUUUUUGCUGCUUCUUUCCCUACCUCCUCAUUUCCGAAGAACUAGGGUUAAACCAUGACCACUCCUCGAGGCCUUCCCUGGAGACUCGGGCUCAUAGAUUCCUUCUUUCUCUGAAUUCUAAAGUACUUAUGGAAGAUUCAGCAGAUAAUUUUUAAUGAAUUAAAUUUUAAUACAUCAAAUUUCUUAAUAAUAAAAUUUAAUAAAA